rnacentral:rRNA from 1 species
UACGUAGGGUGCGAGCGUUGUCCGGAAUUACUGGGCGUAAAGAGCUCGUAGGUGGUUUGUCGCGUUGUCCGUGAAAACUCACAGCUUAACUGUGGGCGUGCGGGCGAUACGGGCAGACUGGAGUACUGCAGGGGAGACUGGAAUUCCUGGUGUAGCGGUGGAAUGCGCGGAUAUCAGGAGGAACACCGGUGGCGAAGGCGGGUCUCUGGGCAGUAACUGACGCUGAGGAGCGAAAGCGUGGGGAGCGAACAGG